rnacentral:rRNA from 1 species
GACGAACGCUGGCGGCGUGGAUUAGGCAUGCAAGUCGGACGGUAGGGCUUUAUCGUAAGAUAGAGUUUGAGAGUGGCGAACGGGUGAGUAACACGUAGGAAUCUACCCUUAAGACGGGGACAACCCAGGGAAACUUGGGCUAAUACCGGAUGUGAGCAACUUUUAGUUGUUUGAAAGGUGGCGUAAGCUGUCGCUUGGGGAUGAGCCUGCGUCCUAUUAGUUAGUUGGUGAGGUAACGGCUCACCUAGGCAAUGAUAGGUAGGCGGCCUUAACGGGUGGUCGCCCACACUGGGAUUGAGAUACGGCCCAGACUCCUACGGGAGGCAGCAGUCGAGAAUAGUCUACAAUGGUCGGAAGACUGAUAGUGCGACGCCGCGUGAACGAUGAAUCCCUUCGGGGUGUAAAGUUCUUUUAUAUGUGAGCAGUGCUUCUUAUAUUAACAGUAUGGGGAGAGAGAUAUUAGCAUAUGAAUAAGCAACGGCUAACUCCGUGCCAGCAGCCGCGGUAAACA